GACGAACCGUGCGAACGUUGUUCGGAAUCACUGGGCUUAAAGGGCGCGUAGGCGGGCCAUAAAGUCAGGGGUGAAAUCCUCCAGCUUAACUGGAGAACUGCCUUUGAUACUGAUGGUCUCGAGUAAGGUAGGGGCAUGCGGAACUGAUGGUGGAGCGGUGAAAUGUGUUGAUAUCAUCAGGAACUCCGGUGGCGAAGGCGGCAUGCUGGACCUUCACUGACGCUGAGGCGCGACAGCGUGGGGAGCAAACAGG
rnacentral:rRNA from 1 species